AUAUCAUUAGUAUAAGUAAUUAUGCUACUUUUCCAAAGUGGUGAUCUAUUUUUUAGAUGAUAUA
rnacentral:tRNA from 1 species